ensembl:lncRNA
GGUCUAGUAUAUUAGAAAAGAUAUACAGCCCUCUUAGACUUGUAAUGUUAAAAUGAGCAGUAAAAUGCCAAUGCAAAAUCAAUCCAAGGCAACAGGCUCUAUACCAGGGCUGUAAAACCCCUGGUACAGGUGGUUGUCUUCAGUACCUCAACAUUUAAAAUGUUAGUCCCGAUUAAAUCAGUUCAAUCGAUUAACACUUUCAUUCAAGCUAUUGUUAGCUGUGAUUAAAUCGAUUAAAUCAAUUACUUAACAAUUUAGGAUUUUUUUUUUUUUAAAGAAGAGGAAUAUUCAGAUGCAGUAAAGCAGUGAACAAUUCUGCAAUUAAGCCAGCGGUAGCUAAGCCCCACAAACCAAACUCAAAUAUAAUCCACCCACCUCUGAGGGUGUCAGAUGUUUAACAUAACCCACUCACCUCUGUGAGGGUGUCAGAUCUUUAAUUGGCAGCUCAUUUUAAUAUAACAGGUCCAGACUGGGCGAGUAUUAACAUCAGAGCUCAAAGGUAAAGUCUGAAAGUAGAAUUAGCUUAGUUGGAGAGGCCAUCAUGAUCUGGUCUUGCGAUUUCUUGGGCAGGAGGCCCAUCUUUUUUUGUCAGUUGUGUGAGAUGGAUAAGUUGCUAGAUUGAUCUAUAUUCACGUGGGCUGUCAACACCUUGAAUACAUUUACUUUACACUAUAAACAGGUCACCAUAAAACCGUUGUGUUUACUUUGAGUCACAAUAUAGACUAUACCUAGGGACCAGUCUUUAUUUAAAAACAGGGGUUUAGUAAAACAGAGACAUGUGCAUAGACCAGGGCAUUCCAACCCUGUUCUUGGAGAGGUACUCUCCAGUAGGUUCCAGUUUUAAUUGACCAGAUUCAGCUUAUCAACCAGCUAAUUAUGACAAUCAGGUGCGCUAGAUUAGAGUUGGAGCAAAAAUAUAAAGGACUGUAGCUCUCUAGAUACAGGGUUGGAGAGCCCUGGCAUAGACACUACAUUUACAUCUGUGUACACCUCUUGGGAGGGAUUUGACACUUGCAUUACUGGCUUAUGUUGGUUGCAUUGCAAGAAAACACUUCUUUUUUUUGUCCAUCCAUCUUCACAAUCACAGCCAACCAUAGGCAUUGACUGGGCCCAACCCUUCCCAUCCCCUUAAUCCAAAUCCACGUAUUUACAGUGCAGUUUGAUGGCAAUGCCAAACCUCCUAAAAGCCCCCAAUCACCUCAAGGGAGCCUGUGAAUGGUGAGCAUGUACUGCACAUGGGAAGAGCUCGACAAGAAAGCGGG